AUAAGAUGCCGCAUGUCCGCUCUUUGGAUAAAGAGAGAAAAGUCCGAACUUUUUACGCUUGAUACAAGUUAACUACUUGCAAAAAAGAUUUUUGGGAAAGUAUUACAGAAAUGCUCCAUUGAAACUCUAAGAAGGUAACUUCUACGGAUCAAACCCUAUCAAAAGCAAAACUUCUACGUUGCUUGACAUCUUAUGCAAAUAAGGAUGCAGACAAAUGGACAUAACCCAUCAAGAGAUGGUUACAGAAUUCGGCUUAUAAGCAUCUUAUUUCA
rfam:Ostreococcus tauri mitochondrion, complete genome.